rnacentral:rRNA from 1 species
UACAGAGGUCCCGAGCGUUGUUCGGAUUCACUGGGCGUAAAGAGUGCGUAGGCGGUUCUGCAAGUCUGAUGUGAAAUCUCCGGGCCCAACCCGGAAAUGGCAUUAGAAACUGCAGGGCUAGAGGCUUGGAGGGGGAACUGGAAUGCUCGGUGUAGCAGUGAAAUGCGUAGAGAUCGAGCGGAACACCAGUGGCGAAGGCGAGUUCCUGGACAAGACCUGACGCUGAGGCACGAAAGCCAGGGGAGCAAACAGG